rnacentral:rRNA from 1 species
CUGCCUACGGGAGGCAGCAGUGGGGAAUAUUGCGCAAUGGGCGAAAGCCUGACGCAGCGACGCCGCGUGAGGGAUGAAGGUCUUCGGAUCGUAAACCUCUGUCAGCAGGGAAGAACGGUCACUGUGCUAAUCAGCAGUGAAUUGACGGUACCUGCAAAGGAAGCACCGGCUAACUCCGUGCCAGCAGCCGCGGUAAUACGGAGGGUGCGAGCGUUAAUCGGAAUUCCUGGGCGUAAAGCGCUCGUAGGCGGUAUAUCAAGUCAAGGGUGAAAUCCCCGCGGCUCAACCGCGGAACUGCAUCUAAA